AGAAAGGGUAAAAGGCAAAGACGUAUUAGAUGUAAAAUGGGUUUACACGAGAAAAUCAGAUGACAGGUAUAAGGCUAGAUUAGUGGUAAGAGGAUUUCAACAAAGAAACGUAGCCGAUGACAUAUACUCCCCACGAGUAAUCAGACCUUUAAGAUAUUGCUAUCAUAUUGUUGUCAAAAUGGAUUAAUUAUUGAGCAAAUGGAUGUAGAAACUGCCUUUUUAAAUGGUGAAGUAACCUCGGAGGUAUAUGUAAAUCAUCCAAAGGGAUAUGCGAACGGAACGAAUAGAG
rnacentral:misc_RNA from 1 species